UCUUUUUGGCUCACUGCCAGGGAUAUGUGCAGGUAGCACGGAGGGCUGAAACUUCAGAGCAGCGUUUUUGGUACUUCAUUCGGUUGGUUUGGAGUGUGGUAGGGCUGGAGAAGUCAGCCGUUGUGCACCAGUGAAUCCGGUACACAUUGUGGGAGUCCAGAUACAGGUAUUUAAUAAUUGUUUUAACCUGUUUUGUGAGAAGUUAAGCUAGUAUGCCUUUGUGGCUAGUUUUAAAAGUAUGCACUUGUUUUACAGUGUGGAAUAAGAGCCUAUUUUGUAGUGAACUGCAGCCCUGUGUAUGCCGGUGAGCCAGUGUGCAUUGUGGAAGUCCAGAUACAGCAGUAACAUCCAGUAGUGGACAGCAGUAACAAGGGAAGUGGAGCCCUUCCAAGGCAGAUAUAUAGAAUGUUUAGAAUAUAGGAGUAUCCCUGGCCAGUGAAAAUUAAUUAUUGUUCUUUCCUUCCCCUUGAAACUUUUAAUAGUAAAAUAUAUUAAAGAUUGGGUUUUAAAGGUAGUAAACGUUAAUUGACUUGAGUGCCAAUUCUGUUUUAAAUUAAAAUUGCAUCACAUUCAAUUGAACCAGUUGGACAGUGUGGGGCCUGGUGGGAGGUGGUAUUAUUAUAAUCUCGUGUUAACUAAGCUGAGGUACAAGUCGUGAGGGUUCUCUUUUGGGGUGGAGUGUGUUUUCUUUAAGUUAAUUUUGAAUUUGUUUGAUUUUGAGUUUGUUGUGUUAUCUAUUUUAUUUAUAUUAUUUUUUUGAAGUAUUUGGUUAUAAUUGAGCCCUUAAAACUCUUGUAAAUUUUUGCUUAUUUUCUUUUGGGGUAUUAUACUACUAGUUUUCCCACGUUCAAGCUACCAGGCAAUUAAUUCCUUUAUUAACACUGCCAAUUGUGGAUUUGGGUCAAUUCAUGUGAGCAAACGAGUUGUUGUUUUUUUUUAAGAUUUUCUAAUAAAGACACAUUGUGAAACGUCA